CCCCCUAUGGGGCUCCAACUGCUUGUAAGCAUCCGGUUUCAGGUACUGUUUCACUCCCCUAAUCGGGGUGCUUUUCACCUUUCCCUCACGGUACUGUGUUCGCUAUCGGUCAUGUGCGAGUAUUUAGGCUUGGAGGGUGGUCCCCCCAUGUUCAGACAGGAUUUCACGUGUCCCGCCCUACUCGAGAGCAUGAAGGCGGAAUCGCUAGUAAUCGCGGAUCAGCAUGCCGCGGUGAAUACGUUCCCAGGCCUUGUACACACCGCCCGUCACACCAUGGGAGUUGGAUUCACCCGAAGGCGGUGCGCUAACCUUUUAGGAGGCAGCCGACCACGGUGGGUUCAGCGACUGGGGUGAAG
rfam:Erythrobacter sp. HI00D59 HI00D59_c145, whole genome shotgun sequence.